CGACCCGGAAAAACCCGUCCUCUUCCGGUCCCGCCCUGUGCAGUGAAAGAGGCGGGACUUCCGGCCUCACUUCUUCCCCUGACGGCGCUCUCUCUUCGAUGCGGGAAGUUCGAACGGCUACCUCGUAGUUUUGUUUUGUUUGUUCCUUUUGGUCCUCCGGCUCGCCGCUGCUGCCCCAGCCGCCCGGACUUGAACCGGCGUCUCAGUCCAAACACUUCUUGUGUCCAUGUUCUUCCGCAGAUGAGAUUAUUUUCUUUCAUCCAGAAACACCACUCGGUAGUUAACAUUUGCUGAAGUAACCCCGGAGAAGCAGUCGCAAACGGUACGGUUCCUGCCAUUUGGGCAACGUAGAGGUCAGUCAGAGGCCUUGAUUGCUCUCUCGAUGCGGAAAACAGCUCCGCAGCCCAGAACUGCCGGUCUGCCUGAAGUGUGGCAUACCCAGGCGUAGAAAUGGCCGCUGAAGUCCGAAUGGUGCUUUAUGAAGAUGACUCGGUCCAAGUACAGUAUGCCGAUGGUUCCAGACUGCAGCUCUCUCCGUGUGGCUCAGAGUUUCUAUUUGAAAAGGCACCUCCUCUUUCAACACAUCCUUUAGAGCAACCAGAGAGAAUUCGUCAACGGACACACUUUGUCAUUAGUACCUACCGAGAGCAACUGCAGCGAGCCCUAGAUUUUCGAAACUCUUCAGCUACGUGCCCUUUUUUAUCUGAAAGCCUCACACCUCCUGAAAGAAAAAAGCAUAUCUUCAUUGAUUUCUCGGAAGUAAAAUGGCCCAGUGUUGAUAGAGAUGACAGCAUCACAUAUUCGGAGAGUGGCGCUGUGAAGAUAACAUCACUCGAUGGACACGCAUACCUGUGCCUACCCAGAUCUCAGCAUGAAUUUACAGUGCAUUUUUUGUGUAAAGUGAGCCAGAAGCCAGACUUGCCUGUAAUACUCUCUGAAACAAGUAAUCAGGUCCCAAAAGAUAAACAAGUUGGAAAGACGAGCAAAGUCUGCACCCGUGCAAGUUUAUCAGGACAAGGAUUACAGAAUAAAGAAAACAAACUUCAUGGCCAGAUCUUGAAAUCUAAGGCCUCAGCGAACCUGUGUUGUGUGGAUGGAACCGAGGGGCGGGAGGAGCUGCCUUCCUCAAGCACGAGGCACAGAUGUGUCUACGCCUGGGUGAAGCAGUGCUGGUCUGUCGCCGCCUGUCCAGAGCCGUGGAAAUACCCUUUGUCUUUAGCCCUUGGUUUUUAUAACAAAGUUAGUGUUGUGUCUAAAACUGAUGCAGGUUUCCCUGCAAGAGGAACUGUAACCUCUGACACUCCAGAAGAAAGCAGAGAAGAGGUUUCUGUCCUUCCCAGGGCCUUGUUACUCAGCUGCCCUGCCCCCCACACGCACAGGUGGAACUUCUGUGAAUCACUUUUACAGAGACAGUCCGAUGAAGAAUAUUCCUAUCCUGAGCUGGUGAAGGUGGUGUGGUACAAGGGUAUUACAUACAGGCUUACCCAUAAAAAUGAAAACUCGAUAGAGAUUUAUCCUGGAGAUGGAUCAGUUUUCAAGUCAGAAGGAGCUUAUUUUGGUAACUAUUUUACAUAUUAUCCGAAUCAAGAAGAAUCAGAAAAGAGAGAAGAGAAAACUUAUUCCAUAAAUAACCUUCCUCCAGACAGACCAGGAAGUCUCUUCUCUGUACGUUCUUUGAUUAAACAGGCAGCCAGAAUUCUUCAACAUUGUGCCAAGACAAGGCUUUCGCUGAGUCACAACUAUCACGCCUGCUGCUGGAAAACGGUACCUGGAAUAAAUGUUAACAAUACCCUGCCCAUGGUUCUGAAAGAAUCACUCAUACCCAAUGUGGGGAGAUUUCUUGCCUACUCUGAUGAAAAAGUUCACGCUGUCUUUUUAGAUGGCGUCACUUUAACGCUGAAUUGGAAUUUCAGCUCCUCUGCUGAAAAAAGACCAAUAAAUCAAGGUCUCAACUUGGGUUGGUGCAGAUUAACUUUUCCUGAUGGACAGGAUCAGUUCAUUCAAAUUGAGCAUCCUGGAACAUAUGAAAGAUACGUGACAUCAGUGACAUCAUGGUGCAGAAGACUGACCCAGACUAGUCCAAGUCAGGUGCCCGAACAUCUGUCAGCUGUUCUCAACGAAAAUUGUUCCUCAGGAGACUCGGCCAGGGCUCCACAGGAGCGUUCCGGGCGACGUCAGACUGACUGGAGAAGGAACUCAGCAACUGAGAGCAACUGGCUGCUCUUUCAAAGGACACAGGUUCCAUUCCCAGCACACUCACGGCAGUUCACAGCCCUCUUUAACUCCUGUUCCAGGGGAUCUGACAUCCUCUUCUGGCCUCCAUGGGCACCAGGUACACAUGGUGCACAGAUUUACAUGCAGGCAAAACACACAUACGCAUAAAAUAAAAUUCAGAAAAGGAUCUUUGGCCUGUGGAGACAGUGAGAAGACAGUUUUCAGGAACAGAUAGUACUUGAUAGGAUAUAUUAUAGGUUUUGGUGAAUUAAGAUGGCUCCUAUAAUAAAUAAGGACUUUCACAUGAUUAUAAAACUGAUCACUAACCACUGCUCAAGUAAUAACUGGUUUUGUUUUUAUUAAAUGCCUUGUUUACAUAAAAACUGAAAGAGGGUUACUGUUGACAUACUAAGAAAUGAAGCUGGAAGCCAGGUAGUAAUGGCGCACGCCUUUAAUCCCAGCGCUCAUGAGGCAGAGGCAAAUGGAUGUCUGAGUUGGAGGCCAGCCUGGUCUACAGAGUGAGUUCCAGGCCAACCAAGGACAACAUACAAAAAAACAAAAGUGAAAGUGCAGUUGGUGACAGCAGCUGUGGGUGACAGCAGUGAGGACCAGCUCUGACCCCCAAGACAUCCCCCCUCCCCGUCCUCUGUCUUGUCAGAGUGUAGUUUGAAGGAAGAAAUCACACAAUAACCAGCUCUCUAAAUUGUAUUUCAGUUCUUUUUCUACCUUGCCAUUGUUAGCUUAUUGAUUCAACUUCUUAGUAACUUGAAUUGUUUUUAGACAGUGUCCUCAUUAGUUUUCAGAGGUGAUAGUUGUAGUGUUUGUAUAGUAUUCUGACUCGGUGGGGAAACUAGAUAGACCAUCCACAGGAGGGGCCCUGCUCGAGUUCUGUGGUCACCUCAUCCCUGUUGUCCUCCCGUCCGUCUCCUGUCAUAUGUCACCCUUUACCUUUCGUAGGUCUGUUGCCUCUGAGCUUGAGAAAAUACAGAAAUUUAACUGGCUCCUGGAAAACAGUGGUGUCCUCCACUUGACUGCUAACAAGAAAAACGAACGGUGUUCUGAUGACUGUGCACCAGGCUCUUCGGAAACCUUGCUGGAAGCA